rnacentral:rRNA from 1 species
GGAGGGUGCAAGCGUUAUCCGGAAUCAUUGGGUUUAAAGGGUCCGCAGGCGGUCUUAUAAGUCAGUGGUGAAAGCCUACAGCUCAACUGUAGAACUGCCAUUGAUACUGUAAGACUUGAAUUCGAUCGAAGUGGGCGGAAUAUGACAUGUAGCGGUGAAAUGCUUAGAUAUGUCAUAGAACACCGAUAGCGAAGGCAGCUCACUAGGUCUGGAUUGACGCUCAGGGACGAAUGCGUGGGGAGCAAACAGGAUUAGAUACCCUGGUAGUCCACGCCGUAAACUAUCAAUACUCGUUCUCAGCCCUUUAGGGGUUGGGGACCAAGCGAAAGUGAUAAGUAUUGCACCUGGGGAGUACGAUCGCAAGGUUG